rnacentral:sRNA from 2 species
CCGGAAUUCGCACCCAUCCACACAGACGUGGCAGGAGCGGGGGAACCAGGUAAGCCGCCGGACCGGAGUGAUCCGGGCCGGCUCGGGGUGAAGUCGCCGCAACGCGACCGGGCAUCUCCAGCCCGAACCCGACAGCUCACCUCGCAGGCGCCGGAGAGGAAUU